GAUGAACGCUGGCUACAGGCUUAACACAUGCAAGUCGAGGGGAAACGACGGGGAAGCUUGCUUCCCCGGGCGUCGACCGGCGCACGGGUGAGUAACGCGUAUCCAACCUGCCUCUGACUGAGGGAUAACCCGUCGAAAGUCGGCCUAAUACCUCAUGGCAUCGUCUGCGGGCAUCCAACGACGAUUAAAGAUUUCAUCGGUCAGAGAUGGGGAUGCGUCUGAUUAGCUUGUUGGCGGGGUAACGGCCCACCAAGGCGACGAUCAGUAGGGGUUCUGAGAGGAAGGUCCCCCACAGUGGAACUGAGACACGGUCCAAACUCCUACGGGAGGCAGCAGUGAGGAAUAUUGGUCAAUGGGCGAGAGCCUGAACCAGCCAAGUAGCGUGCAGGAGGACGGCCCUAUGGGUUGUAAACUGCUUUUAUGCGGGGAUAAAGUGAGGGACGUGUCCUUCAUUGCAGGUACCGCAUGAAUAAGGACCGGCUAAUUCCGUG
rnacentral:rRNA from 1 species